UUUUUUUUUUUUUUUUUUUUUUUUUUUUUUUUGGUGUGUUCCCUGCAGCAAGGUUUGUACCAGUAUCUUUCUUCUUUAUUUCUUUUCACGCUAUGGUGUUUUUUGGGGUUCUAACUGAGUUCACAUGCGCUUCCCGAGCAUUAUAGGAGAUUGAUGACAGACCCAAACUCGCCUACUAUUGAUUUUUAUCCCACUAAUUUUGGAGUGGACAUGAAUGGCAAGAGGUUUUCUUGGCAGGGCAUUGCCAAAUUGCCUUUCAUUGAUGAAGCUUGGCUCCUUGCAGAGGUUGCAAAUGUUGAACAUACAUUUUGACGAUAAGGUUAUCUAUCCUUAUUACCCAAUUGAGCUCAAAGAGAUUAGUAUUUUAAUCGAUCAUGUAAUCAAAUUUUA